GACGAACGCUGGCGGCGUGCUUAACACAUGCAAGUCGAACGGUAAGGCCCUGUCUUGGUUGCACGAUUGAGUGGCGAGUGAGUGAGACAUAGGUGAGCUGCCCUGCACUGUGUUUGAGGCAUGUUAAACUGACUCUAGUACCUAAUGGAACUGAGCUCUUGAUGCCGGGUGGGGGAAGGCUAGUUCGGGCGGUGGGGGAUGGACUCGCGGCCUAUCAGCUUGUUGGUGGGGUGGUGGCCUACCAAGGCGAUGACGGGUAGCCGGCCUGAGAGGGUGUCCGGCCACACUGGGACUGAGAUACGGCCCAGACUCCUACGGGAGGCAGCAGUGGGGAAUAUUGCACAAUGGGCGGAAGCCUGAUGCAGCGACGCCGCGUGGGGGAUGACGGCCUUCGGGUUGUAAACCGCUUUCAGCACAGACGAAGCGUAAGUGACGGUAUGUGCAGAAGAAGCACCGGCUAACUACGUG
rnacentral:rRNA from 1 species